UUAGCAGUAAUCUUUGAAAUCAUCCUUGAAGUGUAGUGUGUGAGAUAGCCAUGCUAAUGCAAUUUCAAGUUUUUAUUUUUAAAAUCAUCAUAUGCAAACUAGCGACCUUCUCACGGGAUAUGCACUCAAUCACACAUGUGUUUAGUUUUAAUGUGUUUCGCUCAAAGAAUCAAAUGUGAAAUUUCUACCAUAAGCUUGCAUAAAAAUCACUUCUCCACAGUCAUAAUUGCAAAACUUAAAUCAAGAGGACUUUUAUUGGAUGUAAUGAGGCUUUAGGGAUAGGGUUAUUGAAAUGAAAGAAUAGGAAAACACAAGUUCCAAGCUACAUUGCAAGCAAUUCUUUUGUUUAGAUUUAUAAGAACUCAAGCUCUUCCAACGAUUCUUCUAGCACCUCCAACCACACCCUUAAACUGAAACUUUAAAAAAACUUUUUAUUUUCUUU
rnacentral:lncRNA from 1 species